GCCGCUUUAUUUAGGGAUGCCGCGACGGCAUUAAUGGUGAGCGGUUAAAAUUGCACAGUGCAACGCUUUUAUUUAGGUAAUCGCUGUAGAGGGGUUUCUCAUCCGAGGCUGUUUGUCAUUUUUCAUUGGGGUAGGCUUCUUACGUGGCGGGUCCCAAACCCAGCGCACAACCCUACCCGCCGGGGGAAGCAGAGGAAAAGGAAGACCUCCACUUGGAAGGACCAAGUGGAGAAGGACCAAGUGGAGAAGGACCUGGCUACGCUUGGAAUAUCCAAUUGGCGCCACGUAGCGAAAAGGAGAAACGACUGGCGCGCUGUUGUUAACUCGGCUAUAAUCGCGUAAGCGGUGUCUACGCCAAUUAAGAAGAAGAAGAAUCGCUGUAGACAAGGGGAUAUGUAGUUUGCAUUUUUUAAAAAGAGGGCGUGGCCCCUUUCAUCUAAAUAUGUAUGUAUCUCACAAACCACUAACGCUAUAUCUAUUAGACUUACUUACAAAAUUACCCACAUCUUAUAAAUACCGCUAACAUGUAGCAAAAUAUAGUGUAAAUAGUAAAUUUGCAAAAUGUUUUAAUAAAAAGUUUUCCCAACAUCUGAAAGUA